UUAAGUAGUAAAGGGCGCACGGAGGAUGCCUUGGCACUAGGAGCCGAAGAAGGACGUGACAAACGACGAAAUGCUACGGGGAGCUGUAAGUAAGCAAAGAUCCGUAGAUAUCCGAAUGGGGGAACCCACCGCUUUUAAAAGGGCGGUACGCGAAAGCGAGGUAACGCAGGGAACUGAAACAUCUAAGUACCUGCAGGAAGAGAAAGAAAAAUCGAUUUCCUAAGUAGCGGCGAGCGAAAGGGAAAGAGCCCAAACCAAUGUGCAUGCAUAUUGGGGUUGUAGGACUCUCAACAAAGCGUAUGAUGAAGUAUAGUAGAACAAUUUGGAAAGAUAGACCGUAGAAGGUAAAAGUCCUGUAUACGAAAUGCUAAGUUGGCGUGAGAGAGCACCUGAGUACGGCGGAACACGAGGAAUUCCGUCGGAAUCUACCAGGACCAUCUGGUAAGGCUAAAUACUACCUAGUGACCGAUAGUGAACCAGUACCGUGAGGGAAAGGUGAAAAGAACCCCGGGAGGGGAGUGAAAGAGAACCUGAAACCGUGUGCUUACAAGUAGUCAGAGCCCUUUAGGGGGUGAUGGCGUGCCUUUUGUAGAAUGAACCGGCGAGUUACUUUAUCAUGCGAGGUUAAGUGGAAGACAUGGAGCCGAAGCGAAAGCGAGUCUUAAUAGGGCGAAAUAGUAUGAUGGAGUAGACCCGAAACCAAGUGAUCUACCCAUGGCCAGGUUGAAGUUUAGGUAACACUGAAUGGAGGACCGAACCAGGACACGUUGAAAAGUGUUUGGAUGAGCUGUGGGUAGCGGAGAAAUUCCAAUCGAACUUGGAAAUAGCUGGUUCUCUCCGAAAUAGCUUUAGGGCUAGCCUCGUUGUGAGUUUACUGGAGGUAGAGCACUGUUUGGACUAGGGGCCCAUCCCGGGUUACCGAAUUCAGACAAACUCCGAAUGCCAGAUAAAUAUCAACGGGAGUCAGACUGCGGGUGAUAAGGUUCGUAGUCGAAAGGGAAACAGCCCAGACCGCCAGCUAAGGUCCCAAAUUGUAUGUUAAGUGGAAAAGGAUGUGAUGAUGCACAGACAACCAGGAUGUUGGCUUAGAAGCAGCCACCAUUUAAAGAGUGCGUAAUAGCUCACUGGUCGAGUGACAUCGCGCCGAAAAUGUACCGGGGCUAAACAUACAACCGAAGCUGCGGAUAUAACUAAUGUUAUAUGGUAGGAGAGCGUUCUAACAUCAUAGAAGCCGAGCUGGAAGGCGAGGUGGAGAGGUUAGAAGUGAGAAUGCCGGUGUGAGUAGCGAAAGAUAGGUGAGAAUCCUAUCCACCGAAAGACUAAGGUUUCCAGAGGAAGGCUCGUCCGCUCUGGGUAAGUCGGGACCUAAGGUGAAGCCGACAGGUGAAGCCGAUGGACAACAGGUAGAAAUUCCUGUACCACCAAAUAUCGAUUGAGAGAAGUGGGGACAGAGGAGGCUAAUUGAUCGUCCUGAUGGAAUAGGACGUCUAAGCACAAAGGUUGAGUAGUAGGCAAAUCCGCUGCUCAUAAGACUGAAGUGUGAUGGGGAGCGAAAUUAAAGUAGCGAAGUCAAUGAAGCCAAACUCUCAAGAAAAGCCGCUAUCGAGAUAAGAGGUGCCCGUACCGCAAACCGACACAGGUAGUUGGGAAGAGAAUUCUAAGGUGAGCGAGAGAACCAUCGUUAAGGAACUCGGCAAAAUGACCCCGUAACUUCGGGAGAAGGGGUGCCUACGAGAGUAGGCCGCAGUGAAUAGGCCCAAGCGACUGUUUAACAAAAACACAGGUCUCUGCAAAACCGAAAGGUGAAGUAUAGGGGCUGACGCCUGCCCGGUGCUGGAAGGUUAAGAGGAGUGCUUAGAGGUAACUCGAAGGUAUGAAUUGAAGCCCCAGUAAACGGCGGCCGUAACUAUAACGGUCCUAAGGUAGCGAAAUUCCUUGUCGGGUAAGUUCCGACCCGCACGAAAGGCGUAACGAUUUGGGCACUGUCUCAACGAUGGACUCGGUGAAAUCAUAGUACCUGUGAAGAUGCAGGUUACCCGCGACAGGACGGAAAGACCCCAUGGAGCUUUACUGUAGCUUGAUAUUGAAUUUUGAUGCAGUAUGUACAGGAUAGGUAGGAGCCUAAGAAUCAUGCACGCCAGUGUAUGAGGAGGCGUUGUUGGGAUACUACCCUUGCUGUAUUGAAAUUCUAACCCUCGGCAAAGACCGGGAGACAGUGUCAGGUGGGCAGUUUGACUGGGGCGGUCGCCUCCCAAAGAGUAACGGAGGCGUUCAAAGGUUCCCUCAG
rnacentral:rRNA from 1 species